CCAUAAAUCCCCAAGGGGAAAUAUUUAGUUUUGCAAUUGGAUUGAGAACAAUGUACAAAUGUUAUCGAUAAACAAUUGGAGGGCAAGUCUGGUGCCAGCAGCCGCGGUAAUUCCAGCUCCAAUAGCGUAUAUUAACGUUGUUGCAGUUAAAAAGCUCGUAGUUGAAAUGUGGGAUGAAGUAUAUGAUGAAUUUAAAAUUCAAUUAUAUAUUGAUUCCCCUCUCCAAUUUAUUAUUAUGGGUAUUAAUUUAUUUGUAAUAAGAAUUGGUCAUUUACUGUGAGAAAAUUAGAGUGUUCAAAGCAGGCAUUUGCUUGAAUAGAUUAGCAUGGAAUAAUACUAAAAGGCUUUUAUGGUCGAUUUAAUUGGUUUGUUCAUAAAAGCAAGAUUAAAAGGAACAGUUGGGGGUAUUCAUAUUCAAUAGUUAGAGGUGAAAUUCUC
rnacentral:rRNA from 1 species